ACAUUAUUUAGAAAAACAAAAAAAAGGAGACAGAGUUUUCUUUGCUCUCUCUUCACUCCCCAUGUCCGGCGAUAGGAUUUCCCGAGGUCCAUUGCGUCGUCGUUGUGGGCCAGUGGCCGGCAUUGCGCGAAUGGAUUUCUUCAGGCGCCGAAGAGGCCAACGAAGGUGCUAUGCGACGCGUGGAAGAGGCGACGGUCAGGGGCGUGGUGGCCGAGGUGGCAUGCGCGAUGGUUCAGCAUGCGUGGGGUGAGCGGCGGCUGAAGAAAGAGGCUAGGGUUGCUGAAACAAUUUGGGUAGUUAGGCUAGGGUUAGUUUUAGGCCUAUUGGGUCUGGGCUUGUGAAAUUAUUUGUUGGGCUGUUAUAUUUUAUUUGUUUAUGGGCCCGGGCAAUAUUGAGCCUGUACAAUUUUAAUAAUAAUUGAAUUUACGGUAGAACUAAUUAUGAGUUAAAGGAGCUCAUUAAAAUA